GCUUCGUCAACGCGCCGCAGGAUCAAGGCCCACCCCGUGCCGUGCAGUGCUCGCCAUGGGAAGCUGUUCGUGUUUGGCGAGCAAUCCGUGAGAACGUCGUUUCUUCGUUUCGCUAUCGCGUUUCGGGGAGUUGGGCAGCGGCGCAAGUGGGACAGCGCGCUGCGCGGCGAACCCGGUGACGCUCGCCAGCAAGAGACGAGUUGACCGCUGAACCGGCCCCUGGGUCUUUCCCCCUAUCACCAGCACGGUGAAGUAUGGUCAAACAACCCACACAACUAGCACGAGAGUGAUUCGGUGGCACGGAACACAGACGAGAGGGGAAAGCGGCCAACAAUUGCCCGAGCUCUGUGGUCCUGCACUGUGAUGCUUUAUCCAACUCCAUCGAUGAGGGUUUAUUGACGUGGGAGGAAACCGAAGUACACGAAGAAAACCAGCGCAUGCGAGGGGAUAGAAACAUAUCUCUUCUGGCACCUCACUAAGAUUUUAUUAAU